rnacentral:rRNA from 1 species
UACGUAGGGUGCGAGCGUUGUCCGGAAUUAUUGGGCGUAAAGAGCUUGUAGGCGGUCUGUCGCGUCUGCUGUGAAAAUCCGGGGCUCAACCCCCGGGCCUGCAGUGGGUACGGGCAGACUAGAGUGCGGUAGGGGAGACUGGAAUUCCUGGUGUAGCGGUGAAAUGCGCAGAUAUCUGGAGGAAUACCGGUGGCGAAGGCGGCAUCCUGGACCGACAUUGACGCUGAAAGCCGAAAGCUAGGGGAGCAAACGGG